AACGAACGCUGGCGGCAUGCCUAACACAUGCAAGUCGAACGAGACCUUCGGGUCUAGUGGCGCACGGGUGCGUAACGCGUGGGAACCUGCCCUUAGGUUCGGAAUAACUCCCCGAAAGGGGUGCUAAUACCGGAUAAUGUCUUCGGACCAAAGAUUUAUCGCCUUUGGAUGGGCCCGCGUUGGAUUAGCUAGUUGGUAGGGUAAAAGCCUACCAAGGCGACGAUCCAUAGCUGGUCUGAGAGGAUGAUCAGCCACACUGGGACUGAGACACGGCCCAGACUCCUACGGGAGGCAGCAGGGGGGAAUAUUGGAAAAUGGGCGAAAGCCUGAUCCAGCAAUGCCGGGUGAGUGAUGAAGGCCUUAGGGUUGUAAAGCUCUUUUACCCGGGAUGAUAAUGACAGUACCGGGAGAAUAAGCCCCGGCUAACUCCGU
rnacentral:rRNA from 1 species